UUCGCAAUGCCCGAAAGGGUGACGAAGCGACGCCGCGUGUAGGAAGAAGGCCUUCGGGUUGUAAACCACUGUCGGGAGUUAGGAAAUGCAGGUGCGUUAAUAGCGCACUUGCUUGACUAAGGCUCCAGAGGAAGCCACGGCUAACUCUGUGCCAGCAGCCGCGGUAAUACAGAGGCGGCAAGCGUUGUUCGGAAUUAUUGGGCGUAAAGAGCACGUAGGCGGCCUUGCAAGUCAGUUGUGAAAGCCUUCCGCUUAACGGAAGAACGGCAUCUGAUACUACAGGGCUUGAGUACGGGAGGGGAGAGUGGAACUUCUGGUGGAGCGGUGAAAUGCGUAGAUAUCAGAAGGAACGCCGGCGGCGAAAGCGACUCUCUGGUCCGAAACUGACGCUGAGUGUGCGAAAGCUAGGGGAGCAAACGGGAUUAGAUACCCCGGUAGUCCUAGCCGUAAACGAUGGGCACUAAGUAGAGGGGUUUUA
rnacentral:rRNA from 1 species